ACCAAGGGCAGUUUGGAGGUCAGAAACAAGAUGUAGUCAACGAUGUCAGAUUUCUCUUACUGUCAUAAUUUUGCAGGUGCAGUUCUACCUUUCCAAUACCACAGUUUUUUGCAGGAGUAGAUGGAGUCUUUUUCAUGGUCUACUCCCUGGUGUUAACAACCUUGCUUUUUCCAAUGACUUGAGAGUUCUCCUGCCCAACAAACAGAAGAUAAUUUGCUCUCUGAGGUCUGUUGAAAGAUAAACUUUGGCACAUUAAAAUUUUAGAGUUUAUUUGAACGACAACAAUUCUUGAAUGAGGCAACUCUGAACUGGAAGUGUUUUUUUUUUUUCCAGGACUCCUCUAACAGAGCAUGAGAAGGAAGCUUUUAUAGCAUGAUUGAAGAAGCAAGGCAAAGAAAAUAUUUGAUUGGUUACAGUGGAGGAGUAGCCUUAUUUGGAUCAUUCCAGUGGAAAGUCCAUUGUCAGAGGCCAGCUGUGGGAUCUCAACACAACAUCCCUGAAGCUGAACCCAGUGGAAAGCCCAGAUGAAGCCUGAGAAGAUGCUCUUCCCUUCUCUCAUUAUGUGGCCCUUGAUCAAGGUAACAAUUUGCAUGCCCUAUAUACAAAUAGGCUGUCCCUCGUAUAGCACCCAUCACACACUGUAAUGUAAUGGCGUAGGUACUAUACUUUGCCUCACCUUCAAUUCUGAAUUUUCUCUUCUGUUCCCUUUUAUGUCUUAUCUUCUUUUUGAAAAACUUAAAUGUGCAAUUUAAAGAGAAAAACGCAUUUUCAUGAAAUAUUGCUAUAAGAGGUGGAUACAAUAAUUGAUAAAGGAAAUUAUAGUUUUCUAGACACAAUAAAUGCCUAGAGAUAUAAUAAAUGCCAAAUUACAAUUUCCCUUAUCAAUUUUUUACUGUAUCACUUUUUGCUAGUUAACUCUAUGCUAAUAAACCUAAGGGCAUACAUGAUAAAAUCUAUUUGAG
rnacentral:lncRNA from 1 species